rnacentral:rRNA from 1 species
GACGAACGCUGGCGGCGUGCUUAACACAUGCAAGUCGAACGGUGAAGCGCUUGCCUUUUUGGUGGGUGUGGAUGAGUGGCGAACGGGUGAGUAACACGUGAGUAACCUGCCCUCUUCUUCUGGAUAACCUCAUGAAAGUGGGGCUAAUACGGGGUAUUCCGGGUCUGUCGCAUGGCGGGUUUGGGAAAGAUUGCGCCUUUGGGUGUUUUCGGUGGGGGAUGGGCUCGCGGCCUAUCAGCUUGUUGGUGGGGUGAUGGCCUACCAAGGCGGUGACGGGUAGCCGGCCUGAGAGGGUGGACGGCCACACUGGGACUGAGACACGGCCCAGACUCCUGCGGGAGGCAGCAGUGGGGAAUAUUGCACAAUGGGCGCAAGCCUGAUGCAGCGACGCCGCGUGAGGGAUGGAGGCCUUCGGGUUGUGAACCUCUUUCGCCAGUGAAGCAGGCCUGCUCCUGUGUGGGUGGGUUGACGGUAGUUGGAUAAGAAGCGCCGGCUAACUACGUG